CCUGACCGCUCCCGCGGGAGGGCCUGGGGGUCGGGUACCGCUGGACACAGGCUGCAGAACACCAGGCCCCCUUCUGAGUGACCCCAUACGACGGGCUGAAGGCUGCAGCACAGGCCAGGUGCCCUAAAAUUGCAGGAGAUGCAGCUAAUGGAGGCUACUAGUGGGAGCAGAAGUGAGCACCCUGCCUCGGCUUGCACACCAACUCUCCCCACCGUCCCCUACCGCCCAUGCUGGGCUCCGCCGACAGUCGCCCUGUCCCAGCCCACCCUGCAGGCCUCCGAGGCUCCCUGAGUCCUCCCUCCGACGCAGAUUCGUCCCUGGGGCCAAGAGGCCAGUCUGAAGAGGGAAAGGAGAAGGGGAGAGUGAUCCUCCUGUGGCGGCCAAGGAAGAUCUUCUGGCAGAGGCCAGAGUUCAGAACAGGACAACGUGAGCGCUGUUUACCCUGCCACCUGCCCUCUACGCUGAAGCCACGCAGCAGGCAGGCUAGAAGGUGCCUUCGAAGUCAUAAACGGACAUUCUCAGAUCAAGAAAGAAGGCGAGAGGCAUUUAGAGGAAAAAAGCUCAAGCGUGGUGGCAGGCAGACGUGUGCUGAGUCCUGCAUGGCCUAAGAGAG